rnacentral:rRNA from 1 species
AAAUUGAAGAGUUUGAUCAUGGCUCAGAUUGAACGCUGGCGGCAGGCCUAACACAUGCAAGUCGAACGGUAACAGGAAGAAGCUUGCUUCUUUGCUGACGAGUGGCGGACGGGUGAGUAAUGUCUGGGAAACUGCCUGAUGGAGAGGGAUAACUACUGGAAACGGUAGCUAAUACCGCAUAACGUCGCAAGACCAAAGA